rnacentral:misc_RNA from 1 species
UAAAAUUUUAAUUAUCACCACUGCAACAUGCAGGUCUAACACUAGUAUAUUAUAUGUAGAACUAAUUACAAACAGGCAGAAUUUCAAUAAAGGAAUAAAUUAACAUUCCUUGACAUAAUUUCAAAUCAAAAUAUGCAUUACUAUAGAGCACUUGUGGAAUGGUGCACUUUCGCAAACAAUACUACUGCACCUGAGGAAAAAUUAACCUUACAUGAUAAAUAGCUACUGCUCAAAAAAUAUAUAUAUUUAAAUGGCUGAAUGAAGAGAAAAUCAGGAAAUCCAAUUUCACAGUUGUUCCCUGCAACCUUAGCUACUUUUCAUUAUAUUAGCAUCACCUUUUUCUUCAGUAUUCAUCCAAAUAAGUAUACAGCAUAUCAUCUUUCUUGGAUUUGCGCCGGCUUAGCAAGGCCUUGAGAAGACGUUUACUUUUGCUGGGGUAUUGCUCAAUGUCUUUAGAAUUUUCUGUUUCAGCUUGGAUACGCAUUGAAGCUGAUUUUCGAGGCUCCGAAGGAUACCGUCUUCUUGCAGCAGCUGCCGAACUUGGAGUGGUAGGCCUACUGCUAGUUGGGGUUGUUGACCUACUUGACACGGACCCAGAACGCAAUAAUGGAAAACGAAGAGGUGAAACUGUGCGCUUCUCUGGCUUGCGAGGAAUUAUCAGUUGAAAAACAAUAGUCCAAAAUAAGAAGUUUCAGAAACUACAGGGAAAGGAGUUGAAAACAAAUUAUUAACAAGGCAAGUCUACACAACCUAAUUGUUUUUUGGGCAUAGUGGAUGUAAAGGAAAAGGUUGCAGAUCGCUGCGGGUGUCGUGGAGAAGGUGAAGGGGAACGCCCUUUUCUGACUGAAGAUGUUGGGGUUUCUGUGAUCGUAGCUCGAACAGCAUCCCGGAAUUGAUUCCAAUCAUCUUCAUCAUCUAGACUGCAACCCAGGUAUUUUGAUUUUGUGCGGAGGGCUCCAUGCAUGGUCUCACCAACAGGCAAGAUGUAUCGCUUAUGGUACUUCGGAGUAUUUAUCAUCAGUGAUUGUUGGGUGAGGCCCUCAUGAUCAAUAUAUUCUCGGCAUGUCCGUAGUCUCUGUUCAAUGCAAGACACACUGAACUCUGUUCCAGAAACUUCAUCAACCUUCACAUCCAACAGAUCAUUAACCUUAUAUGUCACAGAACCCAAAUGGUCCACUGUAUUCACAAGAGCUUUAAUGGCAUAAUCUUUCAAUGUCUCCACCACUAUCUGUUUUUGGUCAUCAUCUGUGUAGGAUAGUUCGAAAUACUCAGCUGCUGAGUAUAACUGCGUUCUCAGAUUCUUCAAAUCCUGGAAUAGAUAGAUGCAAUGAAAAAAUUAUGCCACAAAAAUCCAUUAAAACAGCCUAAUUGCAAGACACAAAUUGUACCAAUAUUUAAAUGAAGGAUAUCAAAAAUACUAGAAGGGUGAGUCCAUCUGAAAGGCUGCUUAUAAAAGAGAAGGCCAAUAAAAGAUUUCGAAAGAAUUAGCAUGCCAGAAUAGUAAACACCAUAAUACGCACGCAUCGAAAAAACUAACUUCAAUUUUCAGUUAGAUUGGCAAGAUUAAAUGAGACUUUGUAGACGAGGUACCAAUGAAUGAAUUUAAGCAGCACCUUAAGACUAUCAGAGAACAGCAAACUCUGUUGCAUAGAAACUUCAUCAUAAUUUGAUGCCUCUGUAGAGACAGAAGAUGCAGCCAUCGUACCCAUAGUGGACAAAAUUACACUUGGAAUCCCUUAUCCCAAAAUAAUAAUCCUAUUUGAACCCUGAAAAUUUUAAAAUUCGAACACCUUGAAGAAUAAAAAACAAGAGAAAGGGAGAGACAGAGACACUCUUUCCUGAUAAGUUACAACUAAAAAGAAACCAAAAGCACCUAUAUUCGAAACAAGAUUUAGCAUAUUACAUGCCAGACAGUACUUUGCCAGUUGCCACACUUCUGCAACCACUCAGAAAACCAAAAUUUAUAAAGACAAUCAAAAUUUUGAACUACUGCAACACUUGCUAGUAACCCCCCAAAAAAAAUCUGAAUCUUCAACAAUACUCUAAUUAUAUCAAAUAAAAUAAACAUCCAAGAAAAGUAAACCAAUCCUUAAAAAGCACCAAAAGCUGGGAAAUUUCCAGUUUCCUCUCUCUGGUUGCGCAGGAAAUGAAUAGAAGAUCCUAUUACCCUCAGCUGAACCAAGCAGUCCCUUUGGACAGAGCUCAGUGAAGGUCGCUACUUUACUGGGUUAUUUUUAACUUAGCUCCUCCGAUAAGAAUAGGCAGUAGAUGAAAAGAACUGCGUAUGCAAGUGAAAUUGAAGGGGACUAAUCUGAUCCUCCUAUUUAGCACAAACUUGGGUUAUUUUGGCACAAGCUCAGACUAUAGGCCAGGUCCCAUACUUCCCAAUUCAAAAUUUAAUCACUAGGCUGUGUGAAACCCAGGUGGAGAAAACAGGCCAAAUGCCAAAUAAAGGGCAGAAACAAGCAGGCCGAAAUGAACAGACGGAGGAAAGUGUAUGUUUGGCGUAAAGAUUAUUGACUAAACAACAAAAAACGACAAACAUUAAUGGCAUCAACUAUCAAUUAGUUUAAGAAGCUACAUGAGCAACCAUAAAAGCAAACAACAGACUUAAUG